GACAGAGGGUGCAAACGUUGUUCGGAAUUACUGGGCGUAAAGCGUGUGUAGGCGGCCAUAUAAGUCGGAUGUGAAAGCCCUGGGCUCAACCCAGGAAGUGCACUCGAUACUGUAUGGCUUGAGUAUCGGAGAGGUUGGUGGAAUUCUCGGUGUAGAGGUGAAAUUCGUAGAUAUCGAGAGGAACACCGGUGGCGAAGGCGGCAUCCUGGACCAACACUGACGCUGAGUGAGCGAAAGCCAGGGGAGCAAACGGG
rnacentral:rRNA from 1 species